UGACCGCUGUGGGAAGCACUUUGG
rnacentral:piRNA from 1 species